CGCCUCUUGUAAUCAUAAGAGGUCCAGCCUGCCCAGUGAUUUUAUUCAACGGCCGCGGUAUUCUAACCGUGCAAAGGUAGCGUAAUCACUUGUUUUCUAAAUAAAGACCAGUAUGAAAGGCAUCACGAGGACUCAGCUGUCUCCUUUCUCUAAUCAGUGAACCUAAUCUCCCCGUGAAGAAGCGGGGAUCCCACUAUAAGACGAGAAGACCCUGUGGAGCUUAAAACAUCAUAACAACUGCCACCACCUUAAACCACCCCGAUGUUACCCCUAACGGCACCCUGAUUAUAUGUUUUUGGUUGGGGUGACCGCGGAGAAAAACCCAUCCUCCACAAUGAAGGAGACUUCCUACCCUAAACAACAAGUUACAACUUUAUGUAUCAAAAAAUUGACACUCAUUGACCCAAUAAUUGAUUAACGAACCAAGUUACCCCAGGGAUAACAGCACAAUCCACUUUGAGAGCCCCUAUCGACAAGUGGGCUUAUGACCUCGAUGUUGGAUCAGGAUAUCCCAGUGGUGCAGCCGCUACUAAAGGUUCGUUUGUUCAACGAUUAAAAUCCU
rnacentral:rRNA from 1 species